GGUUAUAGCUCAGUGGUAGAGUUCUUGCCUCAUACACGUGAGGCGCUGGGUUCAAUCCUCAGCACCA
rnacentral:tRNA from 1 species